AGAGUUUGAUCCUGGCUCAGGAUGAACGCUAGCGGCAGGCUUAACACAUGCAAGUCGAGGGGCAUCGGGAGGGAAGCUUGCUUUCCUUGCCGGCGACCGGCGCACGGGUGAGUAACACGUAUGCAACCUGCCCUCUUCAGGGGGACAACCUUCCGAAAGGGAGGCUAAUCCCGCGUAUAUCGGUUUCGGGCAUCCGAGAUCGAGGAAAGAUUCAUCGGAAGAGGAUGGGCAUGCGGCGCAUUAGCUUGACGGCGGGGUAACGGCCCACCGUGGCGACGAUGCGUAGGGGUUCUGAGAGGAAGGUCCCCCACACUGGUACUGAGACACGGACCAGACUCCUACGGGAGGCAGCAGUGAGGAAUAUUGGUCAAUGGGAGAGAUCCUGAACCAGCCAAGCCGCGUGAGGGAAGACGGCCCUAUGGGUUGUAAACCUCUUUUGUCGGAGAACAAAACCCGGGACGUGUCCCGGACUGCGUGUAUCCGAAGAAAAAGCAUCGGCUAACUCCGUGCCAGCAGCCGCGGU
rnacentral:rRNA from 1 species